GAAUAGGAGUAAUGGCGAGAGUUUUAUUGAGGUAAAAGAUUGUUUAAUGUUGUUUGUGUAUUAAUUGGGUAUUUUAGAAGAAUCUAGUGAUUUUAUUGCUAAAGUAAAUUGUAUUGAAGUGUUUAAAAAAACUAAAGUGAAUAAGUACUGUAAAGGAAGGUAUUUAAUUUAUGGAAAGAAGAUUUAAAUUUUCGUACCUUUUGUAUCAGGGAUUUUUUAUUUAUUUAAAAAAGGUUUAAAUUCCCGAAAUAAGGUGAUCUAAUUUAGUAAAUGUGUUCAUGUAGGAAAAUGGAAUUUAAUGUUAAAUUAGCGGUGAUAUGCCAGUCGAACUUUAUAUAUCUGGUUAUUUUUGAAGUAAAUUUAAUUUAAUUUUUAUGGUUAUUAGCUAUAAAAUUAAGUUUUUAGGGGGAAAAGCUCCUGGAAUUGUUUGUAAAAAGUGGUUGAGAAGAAUGCAAAAUUAGGCUUAGAAUCAGUCAUGUUGCCACAGCGUUUUAGAUGGUGCAAUAAUAAAAUGUGUUUUAUUUGAUAUUUACUUAUUAAUUAAGAAGUUAUUAUUUAAAAUAAGGUUAUAUAAGAUAUAUUGAUUAUAUUAGUAGAUUAAAUUUAUGUUAAAUUAUAUGUCUGGGUAGGAAAGAAUUUUUAAUUAUGUUUUGGUGUGUUUAAGGAACUCGACAAAUAUUGUGUUCACCUGUUUAUCAAAAACAUGUCUAUUUGGAUAAAUUUUUUAGUCUGGCCUGCCCACUGAAUUAUUGAAGGGCCGCGGUAUUUGGACCGUGCUAAGGUAGCAUAAUCAAUAGUCUCUUAAUUAGAGUCUAGAAUGAAUGGCUGGAUGAAAUGCAAUUUGUCUUCAAAUAUAGUGUUGAAUUUUACUUUUGAGUGAAAAGGCUUAAAUUAAGUAAAGGGACGAUAAGACCCUGUGAAGCUUUACUUUUAUUGAAUAUUAAAAUUGGGUAUUUAUGUGUUUAGGUUUAUAGUUAAUAGAAGUUGGGUUGGGGCGAUUGGAAUAUAAUUUUAACUGUUUUGAAAAUUGAAAUAAAUAAUUUUUAGUUGGUUGAUCUUAUAAUAUAGAUUAAAAAAUUUAAGUUACUCCAGGGAUAACAGCGUAAUUCUUUUUGAGAGUUCUUAUCGACAGAAGUAGUUGCGACCUCGAUGUUGAAUUAGGAUUUCACCAGGGUGUAGAAGUCCUGUUUGUAGGUCUGUUCGACCUUUAAAAUCCUACAUGAUUUGAGUUCAGACCGGCGUGAGCCAGGUUAGUUUCUAUCUUUUGCUUUAUAGAAGCCAUUUUAGUACGAAAGGAGUGAGUGGUUAAAAUAUUUUUUAAUAUUUAGAUUUACUUUAAUUACUUU
rnacentral:rRNA from 1 species